GCAUGGCACAAGAUCUGAAGGACAUCAUUGAUCACUUGAACACAUCAGGGGGCCCAGCAGAUACAAGUGAUCCACUUCAGCAGAUCUGUAAAAUUCUGAAUGCACACAUGGAUUCCCUGCAGUGGAUUGACCAGAAUUCAGCUGUGCUGCAGAGGAAGGUGGAAGAGGUGACCAAGGUUUGUGAGAGUCGCCGCAAGGAGCAGGAGCGCAGCUUUCGGAUCACCUUUGAUUGAAACAUUCCCAAGUUCAAAGGAUGAACAUAAAACCUCCACAGAAAACAGCGGUGUUUGGGAGCUGAGGACUGAAAUGACGACCUGGCUUUUUUUCCUUUUUUACAAUAAAAUGUUGUUUGUUCA